rnacentral:lncRNA from 1 species
GUGAAGAACCAGAAAGUCCUACAGAAUGUUGUUGAUGAUCGUGUUCAUGGAUUGAGGAAGAUGUGGAAUCGGUGCUUUGAGGAUUUAAUGGAGCCAAUCAGUAGAACAAAUGGCUACAAUAAAUAUCCUGGCACUGGCUGCAGGUAGCAGGUAGGAUUCCCAUCCUCCUCACCUCACACUUCUGGGUGUUCACUCCCAGCACACAUUAUCAUUCCUGACCUGUCCACAGAGUCUGAGUGAGUCCACCGUGCUAAUGAAACGCUUUGCCAGCC